AAAGUUCCCUUCGGGGAGCAAGUAGAGUGGCGCACGGGUGAGUAACACGUAGGUAAUCUACCUUUGGAUGGGGAAUAACAACCGGAAACGGUUGCUAAUACCGCAUAAUGCAGCGGCACCUAAUGGUGACAGUUGUUAAAGCGGGGGAUCGCAAGACCUCGCGUCUAAAGAGGAGCCUGCGGCAGAUUAGCUAGUUGGUAAGGUAACGGCUUACCAAGGCGAUGAUCUGUAGCCGGCCUGAGAGGGCGGUCGGCCACACUGACACUGACAUACGGGUCAGACUCCUACGGGAGGCAGCAGUCGGGAAUUUUGGGCAAUGGGCGAAAGCCUGGCCCAGCAACGCCGCGUGAAGGAUGAAAUCCCUCGGGAUGUAAACUUCGCAAGAACGGGAAGAAUAAGUAAGGGUUAAUAUCCCUUGCGAUGACCGUACUGUUUGUAAGCUCCGGCUAACUCCGUGCCAGCAGCCGCGGUAAUACGGGGGGAGCAAGCGUUGUUCGGAUUUACUGGGCGUAAAGGGCGCGUAGGCGGCCUCUGCAAGUCGACUGUGAAAUCUCCGGGCUUAACCCGGAAAGGUCAGCCGAUACUGCAGGGCUAGAGUGCAAAAGGGGCAACUGGAAUUCUCGGUGUAGCGGUGAAAUGCGUAAAUUUCGAGAGGAACACCUGCGGCGAAGGCGGGUUGCUGGGCUGACACUGACGCUGAGGCGCGAAAGCUAGGGGAGCAACGGGAUUAGAUACCCCGGUAGUCCUAGCCUUAAACGAUGAAUGCUUGGUGUC
rnacentral:rRNA from 1 species